GUCUCGAAUUCCCCCGCACCCUUCCUCCCAUCGCGGCCCUUCCCUUCUGCUCCCUGCGCCUUUCCUUCUCUCCAUGUGACGCACGCACGGGUCGCCCUGCCGCCCUGCCGCCGACCGCACAGCCCACUCGCUCCCACCUCCAUCUUUAUAGCCGCCGCCCGCGCGCUCCCGGCUCCGUCUCCACUCUCCAGCCGCUGCAACCAAGUUCCAUCAUCAGCCCGCGUCGCCGUCCUGCGCUACGGAGGCGAGCUCGCGAGAACCCACCGUGCUCCGGAGGAGAGCCCAUCAACUUGUUUUAGCUGGACGCCUGCUCCAUGUAUGCACACCGUGUGCUUGAUGAAAUGCUUGGUGAAUUUGCCAUGUUCGAAGCACUGCCUGACUGCCCGCUGUUGCCCUCCCCCGCCGAGUGGCGUGCUAUCGACCAUGCCGAAGUAGCCAGGACGGCGUCUCCCUUGUCGUCUUCGUCACCGUCAAACUAAAAUGGAGUGGGGGUUCUUGUAUAUUCAUUUCGAUCAGCGCUUCUGUCUGGUGUUUCCAAUCCUGUCCCACAACCUGCAGAGCGUCUUUGGACCCCCUCUAGGAGAUAUAACAAAUCUUGCCUCGCUGUGAUCUAAUUUAACGCAAGCAUAUUUGUCUUGGUGUUACAAUUCCGUCCAAUUUGACGCAAGAUGAUUCAGCUAGAAGUAUGGACCAUAUUUCACGUCCUGCUGCCAGUAGCACUCCUCUAUUUGAAUUGAUGGAUGUAUGGUUGCAACCACAUGUUUUUACAACAUCACCAUCAAAUCAUGAGCAGGGCAUACCAAGGUUUCCUUCGAGCCCUUGUAUUCAAGGAUAUUUGUCUCCUGUCAGUAGCCUGAUCCAACCACGCCAGCCAGAUUUGACUAUAGGGAACAUUUCAAACGUUUUUGCAACUCCAGAGUUGAAUGUGAAACAAGGCAUUUCAAUGUUUCCCUCAAGCCCUGGUGUUCAAUCAUUUUCCUCUCCUUUGGAAGAACACGCAAGACAACGUGCUAGGGAGCGUGAUAGGGAGCAAUACUCUCAGAUGAGCAUUGACAGUGAGGAAGCCUAUCUGAAAAGGAAACGCGAGUCCAAACCAAGGAGAAUGAGUGGCAGCGAUGGUUCUGUGUAUAACCAAUCCAAUCGAAGUACUAUUGUGAAACCUGUCAUAGAUGUUCAUGGGGUACCGCCUCUGCAGUCUCUGUAUUCUUCUCCAAGUGCGCCAAGCAAUUUGAAUGUCAAGACACAAUUUUGUCACACCCCUGUGUUUCAAAGUGCUAAUUAUGUGCAAAGUUCGCUUACGAGCUUGCAAACUGGUUUUUGCAUUCCAGGUAUCGUGAAUCAGCUGUCCAAUGAAAUGCAACUGAUACAAUAAGGGUUGGUUUUGUAAUCAAUACAGGUGAGCCCCUCUUUGUAUAUCUAUUGUUGCCUUUGUUUAAUAUCCUUUUACCUUUUAUGUUAAGAUCAUGUUACCUGUUUAACAUACCAUUCUCUCUUAAAGGUGAACUCAACACAAGGGAUCACAUAUGAACUGGACAAAUGAUUGAGUAAUAAGUGACAAGAUUAACUCUUACUCUGCUGCCCUUGGCUUUUCUCUAUUUAUCAGUUAGCAUUUGUAAGCUGAGUGCAUCAUGUAGUUCUAUCCUGCAUUUUCAGAUUAUUUCUAAUGCAACAUAUGUAUAUUACUAAAGCACCUGUACAUAUGUAUGCAGUGGUUGGUGCUAGAGAGAGAUCUAUGGAAAAGCAGAGAUUUGGUUCUGUAAAUUUGGUUUCUUUUUAUGUUAAAUAUCAAGGCUAUGUAGUAUUUUAAAUUUAGAAAAGGAUGAGGAAGCACAGAUUGGAUGAGAAAAGUGUUAACGGUUAGUAUAUAUACUAUGAAUAUAUAAAUACUCACAUAAUAAUUCAGAAACUGAGUGUCUGUACAGACUUAGAAAAAAUAGCAAGUAUUUAUAUUUUUACAAUUUUGUGGUUCUGAGAUACUUUGCACUUGUAUCUAUUGAAUGCUUGUGUUGUAACAGGGAAACUUGCUUUUACGGAAAGGACUAUGUAAUGUCUUCAGUAGCAAUUCUUUCAUGCUUGGUGCAGCCAACUCCUUGUAUGUGGUUUUGUGAGAAUGAGCUUGUAAUUUUUUAGGAAUUCUAGGAAAUCCAUGCUGCAAGGAAUUUUUUCAGCAAUUGACAGGAGUCUGGAGGUAAAGUUCAGGUGGUGAAGCAGCGGGAACAUAAUAUUUUUCUGGUUAUCCAUGAAAUCUUGAAGGGCAAUGUGGAUCACUUCAAUGCCGAGUCCUUCAAGGAAUGAGCUAUUCACGACCACAGCAGAGGACCCAACACUAUUGACUAGCUUCUGCAUCUAUGCCGUGGGGCACCUUCCUUUUUGUCACGCUGGCCGACAACUCUCUUGGCAUGCAGUGCUCGGAUGCCCUGUUUAUGACUUGACUGUAUCUGGCUUUCUUUGGGGCAAAUAUCGAAGUAGCGGCCGUGGUUAGCAUAUGUGAUGAUAGAAAGGAAGCCUCAGGGGUGUGUAGGAGUAGGCUAAGGCUAUGUUCUUGAAUUGUGUUUUUAUUAAAAUUUGAAUAAUUCAAAUUAGUCUGAUUGAAACUUCA